UAUCUCACAGUAUAUAAGUUGGUUUUGUGUCUUUGUUUGUUGCUGGUUCCUUGUGUUUGUCAUACUUCGUUCUCACCCAUGUUCAUGCUACGCCUUGCCUCGGUAAACCAAUGCUAUGUCUUGCCUUGUUACCUGCAGUGAUUUUGUGAGUUUUUGUAAUUGGACUCUGGUUCAGUCUUGCAGUGUUUUUUGCUACGUUUUUGGAUCUUGUAAAUAAACCGAUGAAUCAUAAAGAUGAUCCAGCCGAGCUCUUGUCUGCAAUUUGGUCGACGAGCGUGAGUUAUGGAGGUAAGUCAGUAGUGGAUUUGGAGUGGAUAGAGAUGACACUUACUUGGAGGUGGAUCAGGAUGUUCCAGGAAAGGUGAGUAAGUCACAGAACCUGAGUUUGAUAGGCUGGCGUGAGAUGCGAGAAGUUCCUUCCAGGAGGAAAACAAGAGAAGGCUACAGCGGCGAUUAAAUACUCUGAAGUAUUCUUCCACUGGACAAAGGACGGAUCGAAGACGGAGAAACCAGGCCAAGGUCUUCAGAGCAGUAACCUUAAGGGAAAGGAGCACAGCCAAGAAGCUUAAGAGCUCUCCCUGAUUGCUCCUUAAUGAACAGCUGAGAGGUUGCUCCUGCCUGUCACAUCCUGUGGAAAGAGAUUCUCCAGUGAUCAACUCUGACCAGCUCUCCUUUCCUUGCUGAAAUUCUCUCUCCUGAGGUGUGUAUCUCUGCAGCUUCUCCAGAGCUAUUAUAGCCCUCUUGGCUGCUUCUCUGAUGCUCUCCUUGCUUGGGCUGUCAGUCUACAUUUGAAGUUGUGGCACAUUCUUUCCAUUGUUUAAGGGAUUGAACAGUGGUCCAUGAGAUCUCCACAGCUUGGGAUUUUAGUUUUGUCACCUAACUCUGUUUAAACCUCUCCACAGCUUUCUCCCUGACCUGUCUGGUGUGUCCCAGGGGCUUCAUGAUGCUGUUUGUUCACUAAUGUUCUCUAGGAAACUUCUAAAGCCUUCACAGAACAACUGUUUUAAUACUGAGAUUAAAUAACACACAAGUGGACUCUAUUUAGUAAUUAGAUGCUUUCUGAGAGUAAUUUAAUGUUCUGAAUGCUAGUGCAUGUCACACUUUAAACUUUUAUUUGUAAAAUAUUUUGUAAAGCAUGUAUCAUUUUAUUUCCACUUUACGCUAAUAACUCUGUACUGGUCAGUUCGAUACACUCCCAAUACAAUGCAUUGAUGUUUGUGGCUGUAACAUGACAAAUUUAAAAGAAUUCAAGGAGAAUCAAAUACUUUUGCAGUGCAAUGCACCUGCUAAAUUGCUUAGAUGUGUUGCUGUGGUAGUGCAUCAGUUCUCUUUAAAAAGGAGCAGACAAUAUUAGAAGCUUUUCAGGCAUGUUUUAUUUUGGCUUAAAAUCCACUCAAGAAAUUCAUUUUUUUUUUUUAUUCUGACAUUCAGGUGAUAUGGGUUUCAGAACAGCUGAGUGGUUUCCUAGAGUCAAAGCAAAUCUCUGUUCAUUCUUCCAGUCCAAGCUGAAACAGUUGAAUGCUGUCCUACGUAUGUAGCUUUUAUUGCAAUCAUCUAUACGUUUUUAAAUUCAGAUCAAACUGGCAAAAGUUCUCUAAAUGAAAGGUAGAUUAUACAGUACAAUACAAAUGACAGUGAAAGAACUAAACUACGAAAUUACAACAAAAUGGAAACAUUUUAUUUCAUUGAGUUCUUAUUGGUCAGUUUAUCAAUUUGGCAGCUUUUGAUAGACUGGUUUGUAUUUUUCUGUUUUGUAGUCAUAUUUAUAUGCUGUCAGUUGCAUGUUUGAACGUGACCCCAAUAUGGAUCACAUUACUUAUGAAAUUACUUAAUCUUCUUUGACUUCUUCUUGGCAUAUAUUUUCUUAUUAAUCCUGCUUUUAGGUUUGACUUGCAGAGUUUGUGAAGCUGUUGCCACAUGGAUCUUGCUAUGUUUCUCUCCUCCAAACACAUUAAUAUAGAGAGAGAACAUUAGACAGGCCUCCAUUUGGACAUAUUUUCCUGUCUUUCCAGACCACUUUUCCCUCCUCUUGCCUUUGGCUGUAGUCCAGCAAAUUUUAACACCCAUCAUAGCAUUCUGGGCAUUGUCCAAGCGAUGCCCUUGAGGAGGACAUUCCUGUCUGGCACAGUUCCUCUUUUCACACUAUUUAUACUCAAAUAUCAGAGUCCUGCACUGAUACCAGAAAAGCAUCCAACCAGGCAGUUCUGCCUUGUGAUGAUAAAAGAAAACACUGCUCUGUCUUGCACAUGCAAUCAAGAAUAAAAGCUAUGUACAAUGUUGCAGUACAAAAUGUACUGGGGUGCAAUAUUA